rnacentral:tRNA from 1 species
ACAAUGGUGGUUCAGUGGUAGAAUUCUCGCCUUCCAUGUGAGAGACCUAGGUUUGAUUCUUCCUCAGUGUA